AUACAGGGGGUGCAAGCGUUGUUCGGAAUUACUGGGCGUAAAGGGAGCGUAGGCGGAUCUACAAGACAGUGGUUAAAUCUCCGGGCUCAACCUGGAACUUGCCUUUGUGACUGUGGAUCUUGAGUAUGGUAGAGGUUGGCGGAAUUUCCGGUGUAGCGGUGGAAUGCGUAGAGAUAUGGAGGAACACCAGUGGCGAAGGCGGCUUCCUGGUCUGUAACUGACACUGAGGCGCGAAAGCGUGGGGAGC
rnacentral:rRNA from 1 species